UAGAUCUCAGCCAAAACGAUAUGCGUCACAUACCUGCUGCUAUUACUCAACUUUGUAAUCUGGAACACCUUAAUAUCAGUCACUGCAACAUGCUUGAAGAAAUUCCAGAGCUUCCACCAAGUCUAAAGAUCGAUGCACAUGAUUGCCCAAGCCUAUGAACUUUGUCAAAUCCAUCCAUGGCUCAAGAAAGUAGGAGCCUCCUUUGGAAUGGGGAAGAAUUAAUCUAGCAAGUAAUGGAAUUCCAGGGUGGGUACUGCAUCAGGAAAUGGGAAGCCAAAUAAGAAUAGAGCUGCCUAUGAAUUGAAGAAUAUACUUACGAGGACCUAAGACUGCUAUUCAGGACAAGUUCCACUCCGAUC